GGUUAGACAUAUUGAUGUGUUGACCUAAUUUAAUUAGUUGAAUAUCAGAUCUGUUGAUUUAGACCUAAACCCAAAUCUUCUUAUUAAAUAUUAAGUCUAGAGGUCUUUCAUUAUUGUAGAGAUACGGGUGCCUCCCUGGUGUUGAUCAUUCUCGACUAGUUAUAGUGGUUUGGUUGCAUCGAAAAAGUACAAUCACUUUAUUGAUAUUUGAUAUCCCGAGGUAGAGAUAGGUUUGGGUCCAAUAACUAUUUGAUAAGGAUCCCAAUGACAGCUUUGUGCCCGUUGGUAAAUGAUGGGUUUGACUU
rnacentral:lncRNA from 1 species